GAGGACCGAACCGACUAAUGUUGAAAAAUUAGCGGAUGACCUGUGGCUGGGGGUGAAAGGCCAAUCAAACCGGGAGAUAGCUGGUUCUCCCCGAAAGCUAUUUAGGUAGCGCCUCGUGAAUUCAUCUCCGGGGGUAGAGCACUGUUUCGGCUAGGGGGCCAUCCCGGCUUACCAACCCGAUGCAAACUGCGAAUACCGGAGAAUGUUAUCACGGGAGACACACGGCGGGUGCUAACGUCCGUCGUGAAGAGGGAAACAACCCAGACCGCCAGCUAAGGUCCCAAAGUCAUGGUUAAGUGGGAAACGAUGUGGGAAGGCCCAGACAGCCAGGAUGUUGGCUUAGAAGCAGCCAUCAUUUAAAGAAAGCGUAAUAGCUCACUGGUCGAGUCGGCCUGCGCGGAAGAUGUAACGGGGCUAAACCAUGCACCGAAGCUGCGGCAGCGACACUGUGUGUUGUUGGGUAGGGGAGCGUUCUGUAAGCCUGUGAAGGUGUGUCGUGAGGCAUGCUGGAGGUAUCAGAAGUGCGAAUGCUGACAUAAGUAACGAUAAAGCGGGUGAAAAGCCCGCUCGCCGGAAGACCAAGGGUUCCUGUCCAACGUUAAUCGGGGCAGGGUGAGUCGACCCCUAAGGCGAGGCCGAAAGGCGUAGUCGAUGGGAAACGGGUUAAUAUUCCCGUACUUGGUGUUACUGCGAAGGGGGGACGGAGAAGGCUAUGUUGGCCGGGCGACGGUUGUCCCGGUUUAAGCGUGUAGGUGUGUGUUCCAGGUAAAUCCGGUUCACUUUAACACUGAGGCGUGACGACGAGGCACUACGGUGCUGAAGCAACAAAUGCCCUGCUUCCAGGAAAAGCCUCUAAGCAUCAGGUAACAUCAAAUCGUACCCCAAACCGACACAGGUGGUCAGGUAGAGAAUACCAAGGCGCUUGAGAGAACUCGGGUGAAGGAACUAGGCAAAAUGGUGCCGUAACUUCGGGAGAAGGCACGCUGACACGUAGGUGAAGUGAUUUACUCAUGGAGCUGAAGUCAGUCGAAGAUACCAGCUGGCUGCAACUGUUUAUUAAAAACACAGCACUGUGCAAACACGAAAGUGGACGUAUACGGUGUGACGCCUGCCCGGUGCCGGAAGGUUAAUUGAUGGGGUCAGCGCAAGCGAAGCUCCUGAUCGAAGCCCCGGUAAACGGCGGCCGUAACUAUAACGGUCCUAAGGUAGCGAAAUUCCUUGUCGGGUAAGUUCCGACCUGCACGAAUGGCGUAAUGAUGGCCAGGCUGUCUCCACCCGAGACUCAGUGAAAUUGAACUCGCUGUGAAGAUGCAGUGUACCCGCGGCAAGACGGAAAGACCCCGUGAACCUUUACUAUAGCUUGACACUGAACAUUGAGCCUUGAUGUGUAGGAUAGGUGGGAGGCUUUGAAGUGUGGACGCCAGUCUGCAUGGAGCCGACCUUGAAAUACCACCCUUUAAUGUUUGAUGUUCUAACGUGGACCCGUUACCCGGGUUGCGGACAGUGUCUGGUGGGUAGUUUGACUGGGGCGGUCUCCUCCUAAAGAGUAACGGAGGAGCACGAAGGUUGGCUAAUCCUGGUCGGACAUCAGGAGGUUAGUGCAAUGGCAUAAGCCAGCUUGACUGCGAGCGUGACGGCGCGAGCAGGUGCGAAAGCAGGUCAUAGUGAUCCGGUGGUUCUGAAUGGAAGGGCCAUCGCUCAACGGAUAAAAGGUACUCCGGGGAUAACAGGCUGAUACCGCCCAAGAGUUCAUAUCGACGGCGGUGUUUGGCACCUCGAUGUCGGCUCAUCACAUCCUGGGGCUGAAGUAGGUCCCAAGGGUAUGGCUGUUCGCCAUUUAAAGUGGUACGCGAGCUGGGUUUAGAACGUCGUGAGACAGUUCGGUCCCUAUCUGCCGUGGGCGCUGGAGAACUGAGGGGGGCUGCUCCUAGUACGAGAGGACCGGAGUGGACGCAUCACUGGUGUUCGGGUUGUCAUGCCAAUGGCACUGCCCGGUAGCUAAAUGCGGAAGAGAUAAGUGCUGAAAGCAUCUAAGCACGAAACUUGCCCCGA
rnacentral:rRNA from 3 species